UCGGGGGUGUGGGUGUUCAAGAACGGGGUGGUCCGGCUGGUGGAGAACCCCGGGAGCGUCCUAACGUCGACGGGGAGAACCAACGAGGCGCUGCUGUACACUGUGAAGAACGAGGUGGUAGGUUCCUACGAGGCGCUCGAGUCGAAGCUCACGGCCCUGGGGUGGGAGCGUUACUACGAAGACCCGGCGCUGCUGCAGUUCCACAAGCGCGGCAGCCUCAACCUCAUCUCCCUCCGCCGGGACCUCUCCCACUUCGCCUCCGUCCACAUGUACGACAUCGUCAUCAAAAACAGAGGCUCCUUUCGCGUGGUCGAUGCCUAG
rnacentral:rRNA from 1 species